rnacentral:tRNA from 1 species
GCUCCCGUCGCCAAGCGGUUAAGGCAUCGGCCCUACACGCCGACAUGCGCUCGUUCGAUCCGAGCCGGGAGUACCA